rnacentral:lncRNA from 1 species
GUAAAAGCUGGAUUUUUAAUUACAUUAAACGGAAUGGCACUUGUGUAAAAAAAUUCAGCAACUUGAGCAUCCACUUCUUCUUUAUAACCUUUCUUCAUCAUUUGAUUUAUGGUAGCUUGAACUGCCCCCCUACUACCAACUUUUUCUUUUCCUUUAGAACCAAAUAUAUGUUGUCUUUCUUCAAGCCCCUCACAUCCUUGGUCUUCAUCAAUUAUAUUUAACUUUCUUUUUUUCAAAGAGGCUUGCUUAGCUUCUGCAACAAUUUUUAUCAUCAAAUCUCUUAUUUCUUCUGGAACAGAACAACAAGGUUCAGAGUCCUCCCUAGUUCCAGCAAGAUGAUGC